rnacentral:snRNA from 1 species
GUGCUCACUUUGGCUGCAUAUGUACUAAAAAUUGGAACAAUAAAAAGAAAAUUGUUAUGGCCCCUGUGUGAUGACAUGCAAAUUGGAAUUGGUAAAGCAUUCCAUAUUUUU